UACGGGGGGAGCAAGCGUUGUUCGGAUUUACUGGGCGUAAAGGGCGCGUAGGCGGCCUCCGCAAGUCAGUUGUGAAAUCUCCGAGCUUAACUCGGAAAGGUCAACUGAUACUGCGGGGCUAGAGUGCGGAAGGGGCAACUGGAAUUCUUGGUGUAGCGGUGAAAUGCGUAGAUAUCAGGAAGAACACCGGUGGCGAAAGCGCUCUGCUAGGCCGCAACUGACACUGAGGGACGAAAGCUAGGGGAGCGAAUGGG
rnacentral:rRNA from 1 species